UAGAAAUGGAUAUGGGGAAGAGAGAGGGGGAGAAGGCAAAGCAGGAAGGAGGAGGCAGGAAGGGCAGAGCUGGCACCAAGGCAGGCCCUGGGCUGGAUGCCCAGGAGUGUGGGCAGAGGGGGUGCAGCACUGAGAGGCGGACUGGAAGCUUCCAUUGCCAAGCUCAUGACAAAGAAUGGGAGGCAGGGAGGAGGCCCACAGAUCUUGCUGAGUGCUAAGCGCCUGCACCCCUGCCCCGAGCUACACCUUGGUGCCACUGUUGACAGUCAGCCCAAAGCCUCCAGGGAGAUGUUCACCAGUGUCUCUCAGGGACUUGGGCUUCCUUCCCACCAAGGAAGAGGGAGAGAGACUAGGGCUGCCCUCCACUGUGAAGGACCCUGCUAAUUAUUCAUGACAUCCCCGCAGAGUGGCUGGACUGCCACAGCUUCCCCUGUGCCCAUCCUCAAAGACAGCCUCAGAAGUGGACAUCCGUCUUUCAGGAGGGGCUUAGAGGAGCUCUCCCAAGGACGAGCAUGUUGUUUCCCCCCGCAGCCUUGAGUUUUGAAGAGUGAAGCGGGGGUGGUUAGUGAUUCUAGGUUUAAUGCUUCCACCCGAUUGCCCAUUUCAUCACACUCCUCAGUAUUAUGACAUUUGGAUUAUUUUUUAAUCUUCUCUUCCCCUUUUUGUUGUUCUGCUGUUGAACCGAUUAUGCAGAACUGUGUGUUGAUGUCUCUGUGGCACCUUCCCUCCAGGGAUGCAGCUCUGUUUUCCAAACACCCCGCUUAAUCCUCUUAGGAGGGAGGAUGCACCGGGGUGCUCACCCUGUCCGUCAGGGCCGGCAGAGACGGACGCUUUACAGGUGUUUGUUAACCUGGACCAUGCUGGACGGGAGGCUUGGAGGCACCAAGAUGCCAAAUCUCUUACCCAUCCCUCCAGCCAGGCGUCUCAAGUGGCUAAAGAAUAAAUGCAUGAAAAUUAAGAGCCAGCUCUGCCUGCGAAAGAGAACAGGAGCAAGCUGGCUGUUGGCUGUCAUCUGGAGUCACCUACUGGGAAGUGCCGAAUCACCCCAGACCAAGGACAGGAAGGAGGCUUGGUUUUCUUUCAGGUCUUCUGGUUGAGUGAGGAAGAGGUUUCAGUUUGGUGAUGGCAACGUCCUUAAGACUUCACUUGCUUCCCUCUCUCUGUUCUUUUGAGAGCGGGUCUCCACCAAGCAUUUUAGCAGGGUCUCACUCUGUCACCCCAGGCUGGAGUGCAGUGGCAGGAUGGCAGCUCACUGCAGCCUCGACCACCCUGGCUCAAGCUAUCCUCCCACCUCAGCCUAAGAGAAACUCUUGGAACGGAAAACCAAAUACCACAUAUCCUCAGUUAUAAGUGGGAGCUAAAUGAUGAGAACACGUGGACACAAAGAGGGGAACAGCAGACACCGAGGCCUACUUGAGGGUGGAAGUUGGGAGGAGGGAGAGGAGCAGAAAAGAUAACUUUUGGGUACUGGGCUUAAUACCCGGGUGAUGAAAUAAUCUGUACAACAAACCCCCAUGAGAUGAGUUUUCCUGUGUAACACCGAACCUAAAAUAAAAGCUAAAAAUAAAAUUAAGUUAAAAG
rnacentral:lncRNA from 1 species